ACAAAGAAUAGUUAGUGGCAGACGGGUGAGUAAUGCAUAGGAAUCUACCUAGUAGUAUGGGAUAGCCACUAGAAAUGGUGGGUAAUACUGUAUAAUCCCUGCGGGGGAAAGAUUUAUCGCUAUUAGAUGAGCCUAUGUUAGAUUAGCUAGUUGGUAGGGUAAAGGCCUACCAAGGCGAUGAUCUAUAGCUGGUCUGAGAGGAUGAUCAGCCACACUGGAACUGAGAUACGGUCCAGACUCCUACGGGAGGCAGCAGUGGGGAAUAUUGGACAAUGGGCGCAAGCCUGAUCCAGCUAUGCCGCGUGAGUGAGGAAGGCCUUAGGGUUGUAAAACUCUUUCAGUAGGGAAGAUAAUGACGGUACCUACAGAAGAAGUCCCGGCAAACUCCGUGCCAGCAGCCGCGGUAAUACGGAGGGGGCAAGCGUUGUUCGGAAUUAUUGGGCGUAAAGGGCAUGUAGGCGGUUCGGUAAGUUAAAGGUGAAAUGCCAGGGCUUAAC
rnacentral:rRNA from 1 species